rnacentral:rRNA from 1 species
GACGAACGCUGGCGGCGUGCUUAACACAUGCAAGUCGAACGGAAAGGCCCUGCUUUUGUGGGGUGCUCGAGUGGCGAACGGGUGAGUAACACGUGAGUAACCUGCCCUUGACUUUGGGAUAACUUCAGGAAACUGGGGCUAAUACCGGCUAGGAGCUCCUGCUGCAUGGUGGGGGUUGGAAAGUUUCGGCGGUUGGGGAUGGACUCGGGGCUUAUCAGCUUGUUCGUGGGGUAGUGGCUUACCAGGGCUUUGACGGGUAGCCGGCCUGAGAGGGUGACCGGCCACAUUGGGACUGAGAUACGGCCCAGACUCCUACGGGAGGCAGCAGUGGGGAAUAUUGCACAAUGGGCGGAAGCCUGAUGCAGCAACGCCGCGUGCGGGAUGACGGCCUUCGGGUUGUAAACCGCUUUCGCCUGUGACGAAGCGUGAGUGACGGUAAUGGGUAAAGAAGCACCGGCUAACUACGUG